AGAUACAGGGGCUUGCCCUUGUAUCUUAGUGGCGGACGGGCGAGUAACGCGUGAGGAACCUGCCCUUCAGUGGGGAAUAACGGCUGGAAACGGUCGCUAAUACCGCAUGACACAUUGGUACCGCAUGAUACUGAUGUCAAAGGAGCAAUCCGCUGAAGGAUGGCCUUGCGUCCGAUUAGCUAGUUGGUGGGGUAACGGCCUACCAAGGCGACGAUCGGUAGCCGAACUGAGGGGUUGAUCGGCCGCAUUGGGACUGAGACACGGCCCAGACUCC
rnacentral:rRNA from 1 species